rnacentral:tRNA from 1 species
AAGUUAAUUAAUUUAUUUAAAAUAUUUAUUUUGAAAAUAAAAAAAAGAAUUUAACUCUAUUAACUUA